UAGGAUGGAAUGUAGCAUGUGUGGCCGCACACCUCUGAAACUAAGAAGAAUAAUUUAAUAUACUCUAACACUAAUUAGGGUCCCGUAUGGUACAUCUUUUAUGCCAUAAAAAGCAAUGCAUGUUGGGAUUGGUACAAUGUAGUAUAUUUUGAAAAUAAAAGAGUUUUUGCUCAUUGUAGACCGAAAACAUCAUGUGAGGAUGCCAAACACAUAGAUAAUUAUCAAACAUACAAGAGA
rnacentral:lncRNA from 1 species